GUAAAGACUAAAAAACAGUCAGUAUUUCUGUAGCCAACACACACACACACACGCCAGGUCACACUCCCCUGCCGCUGCAGCAGACUUCAGACUCAGUCACUCGCCUUUUUGCCUUAUGGGUGAACAAGGUCUCCGUGGUAACAGCCCUUUACCAAGACUAAGUGAAGAAAGGAAGGGGUCGUCUCCGAACUUGUGCAACAGGUUCAUCAAACAUUUACAGGAAGAACUUGUUUUCUACUGAAAGCUGCUAUUAAACACAAAACCAAACAGCACAAGGCGUAUCACGCAGAUAUCAGCAACUGGAUGUCUGUUUCAAGAUUUUUAGUGAUGUUUAAAAUGUGAUGACACAAUUAUUUCAAUUGAUGUGUAUAGGGAAAAAUUGAUAAUGUUUAUAUUAUUAUAAUUCAGAUAAAACAAAUUAGUGGUACAAGCUUCUAUCUGUUCAUUACAUUUGUUUAUAGGAUGACUUACUGUCCAGGCACUACAGAUUACAAACUAACACUGUCCCUGUUAAAAAAUAAUAAUAAAAUAAAUAAAUCUGAUGAUUUUCAAUUAGAAAUGUAUACUGUACAUCAGCACUGUUUUGGAUUGAAUCCAUCCUCAUUGGUAAGGCUUUAUUAUUAUCAUCUAGUGCCGAUGAAUGGGAGUCGGAGGCGGUGUGUUCAGUAUGGAACUCCACACUUUAUUUUCCAUUCGUUACAGAAAAGUAGGAACAUCUGCUACCUGCUACUGUCAAGCUAGAAUGAAUACAACAACACAGUACACUCUCUAACAGGUCCCUUGUGCAAAACACAAUAUAUACAACGGCGAAUUAUGUCCCAUAAUGCUCCACCACAAUCAUUGAUUAACAUUAUAUAAUAUCAUAUCAAGGAAUAAAUCAGAUAAAAUACUUCUGUAUUUCGUACUGCUUUCAUAUAUAAGUCACAUUUUGUAAUGCAUAUCAUUUUAGAUAGUCAUACUGCUCCUGUGUCUGAUACUAUUUUCCAUCCUCUUCCUCUGGAGGCAGUGAGUGUUCACCGCCGCUGGAGGGCAGCGGUCCUCCGGAACGCACGAGCCUAUGUGAAGCAGCAGAGGAAGAGACGGCGGAGCAAACUGAAGAAGAAGAAUUUAACGGUUCCCGGUUGUUGAACCGCUCCCGUCUCCACGGUGCCGCGCCAGUGCUUCCACACAGUAGUGCUGACUGUGCUGUCACCUCCCAUCAAGCGCCUGGCUCUUUCACCACCAACGCUGGCCGCUUUGUUUUACAACGUUUAGCUAUGUGUUGACAACUUCCCUCAUUACGGAUCGUUUCUGCGACCAAAGACUCAGAGCGAUGGAGGAGGGCUCUGAGGUGGUGGAGGAUAUUCUAUUUCGAGGAGUGGAGUUUUCUGUGAAGAUAGAGGUGGACAAGGGUUUGCUGAUAGUUGAAAUAUCUGACGUUAUGACGGCAGAUCAGUGGAGAGGGGACUUUGAUCCAGCAUACAUUGAAGACCUCACCCGCAAAACUGGCAACUUUAAGCAAUUCCCUAUCUUCUGCAGCAUGUUGGAAUCAGCUGUUAGAAAGGAGUGAGUGACAAUGACACGCGGCAGAUUCAAGUCACAUUUGGAAAGAUGACUCUCAUACAAGGACUGGAUUGGAGAGGUACCAGGAAGAUGUCCACAAGGCUUAUUGCAAGUUUUGCCGCAAGUCAUUUGACAUCAGCAAUAUGGGGGUCACUUCCCUCAAGAGCCAUUCAAAAAGGACAAACCCACACCAAAGUUAGCUGGCAGCUAAAUAAUGAAAGAAAUGACAGAUUUCUUGACUACAAAAACAGGAGAGGGAAGAGCGCCAACAAGCCAGGAUAUCGAAAGUGACAGUCAGGUGCGCAGUAACCUACGAAAAAAGGCUCUGGAGCUCAGGGAAACGUUUUUUUCAGCCAAGCUGUAUGUUGAAGCAGAGAUUUCCUGGGUCAUGAAGAUGGUCAGGUCACACUCUCGUUCAACUCCAACUCUGACAUUUCAAACACUUUUGCUCAGAUGCUUCCCAGACACGCGAAAUUGCCAAACAUUUACAUGUGGCGCAACAAAAUUGGGCUUUACCUUAUACGUUUUGGCUUGUAUCCUCAUUUUUAAAGAGCAGCUGAUUGAAGACGUAAGAAAAGCAAAGUGUCCAUGUAGUGUCUUUUUGACGAAUGCCUUAACAAAGUGACACAAACAGAACAAUGAUGGAUAUCAUUCUGCGCUACUGAGUGAACGCGAAGGGAAAGUAGCUGUGCAUUACCUUCACUUCAGAGUUCCUAGAACACACUCAGGCAGAGAAGCUCUUGGGAGUAUCAACAGAUCACUGUCACCUCUGGACCCCAACAAGCUCCUGCAAAUAUCGAUGGAACGGGCCCUACCAGUGCUGAAUUGGAAGUUUCUUAAGGACUAUUCCCAAGACGACAAGAAGCAAAGAGGACCCAGAUGCACAAAGCUCAUCAACCUUGGGAAGUUGGUGGUCUGCAUGUUUUGCAUGGAAGUUUCCAGACCGGAGAGAGGGGAAACGCAGAGCGUU